rnacentral:rRNA from 1 species
UAGGGAAUAUUGGACAAUGGGGGCAACCCUGAUCCAGCCAUGCCGCGUGAGUGAAGAAGGCCCUCGGGUUGUAAAGCUCUUUUGUCCGGAAAGAAAAGCAUUCGGUGAAUACCCGGAUGUUCUGACGGUACCGGAAGAAUAAGCACCGGCUAACUUCGUGCCAGCAGCCGCGGUAAUACGAAGGGUGCAAGCGUUACUCGGAAUUACUGGGCGUAAAGCGUGCGUAGGUGGUUGUUUAAGUCUGAUGUGAAAGCCCUGGGCUCAACCAGGGAAUGGCAUUGGAAACUGGGCAGCUAGAGUGCGGUAGAGGGUAGUGGAAUUCCCGGUGUAGCAGUGAAAUGCGUAGAGAUCGGGAGGAACAUCUGUGGCGAAGGCGACUGCCUGGACCAGCACUGACACUGAGGCACGAAAGCGUGGGGAGCAAACA